CAUAACGGGGCUGACUCGAAAUCAGUUUGCGUGAAAGCGCACGUGGGUUCGAAUCCCACCCGCUCCG
rnacentral:tRNA from 1 species